AUACGGAGGGUGCUAGCGUUAUUCGGAUUUACUGGGCGUAAAGGGCGCGUAGGCGGCUUGAUAAGUCAGAUGUGAAAGCCCGGGGCUUAACCCCGGAAGUGCAUUUGAAACUAUUAGGCUUGAGAAUGGGAGAGGGAAGUGGAAUUCCUGGUGUAGCGGUGAAAUGCGUAGAUAUCAGGAGGAACACCGGUGGCGAAGGCGACUUCCUGGACCAAUACUGACGCUGAGGCGCGAAGGCGUGGGGAGCAAACAGGAUUAGAUACCCCAGUAGUCC
rnacentral:rRNA from 1 species